UCAUAUCCGUCAUUCAAAACAGCAACUCUUGAUCUUGGAUAAAAUAAAGUCAAUAUGUCAUCAUUUACCUUGCUUAAAUAUACACUGCUCAAAAAAAUAAAGGGAACACUAAAAUAACACGUCCUAGAUCUGAAUGAAUGAAAUAUUCUUAUUAAAUACUUUUUUCUUUACAUGGUUGAAUGUGCUGACAACAAAAUCACACAAAAAUGGAAAUCAAAUUUAUCAACGCAUGGAGGUCUGAAUUUGGAGUCACACUCAAAAUUAAAGUGGAAAACCACACUACAGGCUGAUCCAACUUUGAUGUAAUAACCUUAAAACAAGUCAAAUUUAGGCUCAGUAGUGUGUGUGGCCUCCACGUGCCUGUAUGACCUCCCCACAACACCUGGGCAUGCUCCUGAUGAGGUGGGUGAUGGUCUCCUGAGCGAUCUACUUCCAGACCUGGACUAAAGCAUCCGCCAACUCCUGGACAGUCUGUGGUGCAACGUGGCGUUGGUGGAUGGAGUGAGACAUGAUGUCCCAGAUGUGCUCAAUUGGAUUCAGGUCUGGGGAAUGGGCGGGCCAGUCCAUAGCAUCAAUGCCUUCCUCUUGCAGGAACUGCUGACACACUCCAGCCACAUGAGGUCAAAUCAAAUCAAAUUUAUUUAUAUAGCCCUUCGUACAUCAGCUGAUAUCUCAAAGUGCUGUACAGAAACCCAGCCUAAAACCCCAAACAGCAAGCAAUGCAGGUGUAGAAGCACGGUGGCUAGGAAAAACUCCCUAGAAAGGCCAAAACCUAGGAAGAAACCUAGAGAGGAACCAGGCUAUGUGGGGUGGCCAGUCCUCUUCUGGCUGUGCCGGGUGGAGAUUAUAACAGAACAUGGCCAAGAUGUUCAAAUGUUCAUAAAUGACCAGCAUGGUCGAAUAAUAAUAAUGCAGAACAGUUGAAACUGGAGCAGCAGCACAGUCAGGUGGAAGUUGAAACUGGAGCAGCAGCAUGGCCAGGUGGACUGGGGACAGCAAGGAGUCAUCAUGUCAGGUAGUCCUGGGGCAUGGUCCUAGGCUCAGGUCCUCCGAGAGAGAGAAAGAAAGAGAGAAGGAGAGAAUUAGAGAACGCACACUUAGAUUCACACAGGACACCGAAUAGGACAGGAGAAGUACUCCAGAUAUAACAAACUGACCCCAGCCCCCCGACACAUAAACUACUGCAGCAUAAAUACUGGAGGCUGAGACAUUGUCUAGCAUUGUCUUGCAUUAGGAGGAACCCAGGGCCAACCGCACCAGCAUAUGGUCUCACAAGGGGUCUGAGGAUCUCAUCUCGGUACCUAAUGGCAGUCAGGCUACCUCUGGCGAGCACAUGGAGGGCUGUGCGGCCCCCCAAAGAAAUGCCACCCCACACCAUGACUGACUGGUCAUUUUGCAGGGCUCUGGCAGUGCUACUCCUGCUCCUCCUAGCACAAAGGCGGAGGUAGCGGUCCUGCUGCUGGGUUGUUGCCCUCCUACGGCCCCUUCCACGUCUCCUGGUGUACUGGCCUGUUUCCUGGUAGCGCCUCCAUGCUCUGGACACUACGCUGACAGACACAGCAAACCUUCUUGCCACAAGUGAAGAUUA
ensembl:lncRNA